UACGAAGGGGGCUAGCGUUGCUCGGAAUCACUGGGCGUAAAGCGCACGUAGGCGGCUUUCUAAGUCAGGGGUGAAAUCCUGGAGCUCAACUCCAGAACUGCCUUUGAUACUGGAGAGCUCGAGUCCGGAAGAGGUGAGUGGAACUCCGAGUGUAGAGGUGAAAUUCGUAGAUAUUCGGAAGAACACCAGUGGCGAAGGCGGCUCACUGGUCCGGUACUGACGCUGAGGUGCGAAAGCGUGGGGAGCAAACAGG
rnacentral:rRNA from 1 species